GGUCUGGGAUGGGCUCGCGGCCUAUCAGCUUGUUGGUGAGGUAAUGGCUCACCAAGGCGUCGACGGGUAGCCGGCCUGAGAGGGUGCCCGGCCACACUGGGACUGAGACACGGCCCAGACUCCUACGGGAGGCAGCAGUGGGGAAUAUUGCACAAUGGGCGGAAGCCUGAUGCAGCAACGCCGCGUGAGGGAUGACGGCCUUCGGGUUGUAAACCUCUUUUAGCAGGGAAGAAGCGAGAGUGACGGUACCUGCAGAAAAAGCGCCGGCUAACUACGUGCCAGCAGCCGCGGUAAUACGUAGGGCGCAAGCGUUAUCCGGAAUUAUUGGGCGUAAAGAGCUCGUAGGCGGUUUGUCGCGUCUGCUGUGAAAUCCCGAGGCUCAACCUCGGGCCUGCAGUGGGUACGGGCAGACUAGAGUGCGGUAGGGGAGAUUGGAAUUCCUGGUGUAGCGGUGGAAUGCGCAGAUAUCAGGAGGAACACCGAUGGCGAAGGCAGAUCUCUGGGCCGUAACUGACGCUGAGGAGCGAAAGGGUGGGGAGCAAACAGGCUUAGAUACCCUGGUAGUCCACCCCGUAAACGAUGGGA
rnacentral:rRNA from 1 species